GACAGAGGGGGCAAGCGUUGCUCGGAAUUACUGGGCGUAAAGGGCGCGUAGGCGGGAUGGCAAGUCGGUCGUGAAAUCCCUCGGCUCAACCGAGGAACGUCGAUCGAUACUGCUGUUCUUGAGGAUUGCAGAGGAGACUGGAAUUCCCGGUGUAGCGGUGAAAUGUGUAGAGAUCGGGAGGAACACCGGUGGCGAAGGCGGGUCUCUGGGCAAUUCCUGACGCUGAGGCGCGAAAGCGUGGGGAGCGAACGGG
rnacentral:rRNA from 1 species